rnacentral:tRNA from 1 species
GGGAAUGUGGCUUAGUGGUAGAGUGCUUGCCUACCAAGCAUAAAGCCCUGGGUUUGAUUCCUCAGUACCA